GACGAACGCUGGCGGCGUGCUUAACACAUGCAAGUCGAACGGAAAGGCCCUGCUUUUGUGGGGUGCUCGAGUGACGAACGGGUGAGUAACACGUGAGUAACCUGCCCUUGACUUUGGGAUAACUUCAGGAAACUGGGGCUAAUACCGGAUAGGAGCUCCUGCUGCAUGGUGGGGGUUGGAAAGUUUCGGCGGUUGGGGAUGGACUCGCGGCUUAUCAGCUUGUUGGUGGGGUAGUGGCUUACCAAGGCUUUGACGGGUAGCUGGCCUGAGAGGGUGACCGGCCACAUUGGGCCUGAGAUACGGCCCAGACUCCUACGGGAGGCAGCAGUGGGGAAUAUUGCACAAUGGGCGGAAGCCUGAUGCAGCAACGCCGCGUGCGGGAUGACGGCCUUCGGGUUGUAAACCGCUUUCGCCUGUGACGAAGCGUGAGUGACGGUAAUGGGUAAAGAAGCACCGGCUAACUACGUG
rnacentral:rRNA from 1 species